ACCGUGCAAAGGUAGCAUAAUCAAUUGUCUUUUAAUUAAAGGCUUGUAUGAAUGGUUGAAUGAGAUAUUAACUAUUUUUAUUUUAAUAAAAAUGAAUUUUAAUUUUUAGUAAAAAUACUAAAAUAAAAAAAUUAGACGAGAAGACCCUAUAGAUCUUUAUUUUUAAUAAAAUAAUAUUAAUUUUGAAAAAUUAUAAAUUAUUUAUUUUAUAGAAAAUUUUAUUGGGAAGAUAAUGAAAUUUAAAGAACUUUCAUAAAUUUUAUAAUUAUAAUUAAUCAAUUGAAUAUAUAAUUUAUAUUUUUAAAAUCAAGUUACCUUAGGGAUAACAGCGUAAUUAUUUUUAAGAGUUCUUAUCGAUAAAAUAUUUUGCGAUCUCUCCGAUGUUGAAAUAUAGAAAUAACGACCGUGCAGAAGGUUACAUGGCU
rnacentral:rRNA from 1 species